UAAUUCUUAUGUAUAUAUAAUUAUUCUUGAUAGAUUAAAAUAGUUUUUUUCACUUUAUCUUUUUAUAAUUGGAAAUUGUAGUGAUGAUCUCUUCUGACUGAAGUAAAAAUGUUGAAUUUAAGCUUCCUUGGAUGUCUGAAAAAUGCAAGAUUCUCCGUUUCACAUUAUCCAUUAAAGUGACGUUAUUAAUAGUAUAAUUUUUUUCAGGAUUCAACAUUCUUCUUGGAUAUGUGGUUGAAAAUUCAUGUUGGCCUCAACAUUUGAAUUAUAGGUACUCAAAAUUGGCCAAGGGUGCUGAUUGGAAUUGAAUUAUAAGGUACCUAAAAUUGAUCAAUGGUGCUAUUGGAAUUUAAUUAUUACGUAUAAGGUUCGUAAAAUUGGUCAAGGGUGCUAUUGGAAUGGAAUUAUUACAUACAAGGAUACAAGGUAUACAAAAUUGGCCAAGGUUGCUGCUGCAAAGAAUAGUUUUAGAUAAUAAGGUUGCUCCUGAGACCUGAGACAAAUGCAAUAAUCCUUCGUUCCCGAAUUAGAUAGAGCACAGUAUGAAGUCUGCUUAACUGGGACCAUCAGCUUGCAUUGCUGCUGAAGAAAAACAGUUUGAAAAUCUAUUGUAAUACAAAUAAUGAUCUACUGUUAUACAAAUAAUGGUGAACAAUUGUUAUAGUUUUAAUAAAUAUAAGUAUCCAAGGUUA